rnacentral:rRNA from 1 species
UAAGGAAUAUUGGUCAAUGGACGCAAGUCUGAACCAGCCAUGCCGCGUGAAGGAUGAAGGUCCUCUGGAUUGUAAACUUCUUUUAUCUGGGACGAAAACGGGAUUUUUAUCUCAAUUGACGGUACCAGAGGAAUAAGCACCGGCUAACUCCGUGCCAGCAGCCGCGGUAAUACGUAGGGUGCGAGCGUUAAUCGGAAUUACUGGGCGUAAAGCGUGCGCAGGCGGUUUUGUAAGACAGAUGUGAAAUCCCCGGGCUUAACCUGGGAACUGCGUUUGUGGCUGCAAGGCUGGAGUACGGCAGAGGAGGGUGGAAUUCCACGUGUAGCAGUGAAAUGCGUAGAGAUGUGGAGGAACACCGAUGGCGAAGGCAGCCCCCUGGGCCUGUACUGACGCUCAUGCACGAAAGCGUGGGGAGCAAAC